GACGAACGCUGGCGGCGUGCUUAACACAUGCAAGUCGAACGGAAAGGCCCUGCUUGCCGGGUACUCGAGUGGCGAACGGGUGAGUAACACGUGGGUGAUCUGCCCUGCACUUCGGGAUAAGCCUGGGAAACUGGGUCUAAUACCGGAUAGGAGCCAUUUUUAGUGUGAUGGUUGGAAAGUUUUUUCGGUGUAGGAUGAGCUCGCGGCCUAUCAGCUUGUUGGUGGGGUAAUGGCCUACCAAGGCGGCGACGGGUAGCCGGCCUGAGAGGGUGGACGGCCACAUUGGGACUGAGAUACGGUCCAGACUCCUACGGGAGGCAGCAGUGGGGAAUAUUGCACAAUGGGCGCAAGCCUGAUGCAGCGACGCCGCGUGGGGGAUGACGGCCUUCGGGUUGUAAACUCCUUUCGCUAGGGACGAAGCUUUUUGUGACGGUACCUAGAGAAGAAGCACCGGCUAACUACGUG
rnacentral:rRNA from 1 species